rnacentral:rRNA from 1 species
UACGGAGGAUCCGAGCGUUAUCCGGAUUUAUUGGGUUUAAAGGGUGCGUAGGCGGACUGAUAAGUCAGCUGUGAAAGUUUACGGCUCAACCGUGAAAUUGCAGUUGAUACUGUUAGUCUUGAGUAUACAUGAGGUGGGCGGAAUUUGUGGUGUAGCGGUGAAAUGCUUAGAUAUCACAAAGAACUCCAAUUGCGAAGGCAGCUCACUGGGGUAUAACUGACGCUGAGGCACGAAGGUGUGGGUAUCAAACAGG